AUGCGGAGGGGCACUCACUGGCAUGGCAUAACACCUAAAUACAUCCUUGAAAGGAGGUAUUGCUCCUUUAGGAGAUUCAACUGGAAACUGCGGUCAAAGAUGGGGCUGAGGCCAAAUGCUCAGCAACCACUGUUCCCUGUCUCCAGGUACCCCUCCCCAUCCCCUACACACCAAGUAUGCUUUCUCCCUGGGGGUCUCAGCCUACAGGAAAUUCCCUUCGGAGAAGUUGGAGCCACUCCCCCAGCCCAAACUCCUGGAUGCAUUCUGCUGUGGCCCCAGCCUCCGAGUUUGCCCCCUGUGGUCACAGGCACCCAGGGAGAGUGGGCUGGCCCUAGAACUGUGCUUGCUCCCCAGGACCCAGAGCUGGGGGCCUUGGGCUGGGGCCAAGGGAGUGAGAGGCAGGCCUGGUUCUACCCUGCCCACGCCCCUGCCCCCACAAUCCUCACCAAAGAGCUCAGCCUGGGGUGGAGGCAGGUGACUGCCAGGUUGAUAGGGAGCCAGGUGAGGAAAGGGACUCCUAAGGGUCCCAGACCCUGACAGCCUGCACAGUCAGCCCCAGGCAGAGAUCCCAGGAGAACAUUAGGAUGCCCUGGGCCCAAGCGUGAGGCACUGGGCCUGGAGAUGACCACAGUACUUCUCCGGGCCUCACACCCCACCCCCACCACCAUCCUGCCCAGUGCUGCUUCUGUCUGGUGGAGCACACAGAAGAGGGGCAAAGGGCACCCUGGGGUCCACCUGUGGCUAGAGGAACAGGUCAGGGCUGCACCCUACCAUCCCAGCUGUCACCUAUUUGCUCAAGACUCUGACAUCUCAGGACCAGUUAACAAUUGUUAAGCAAAAUCCUUCAACAAACUUCAAUGAAGUAGGAGGAUUCAAGGAGGGACUCAUUCUAAGGGAUGGGAAGGGGAAUGUGUUUGUGCUCAUGGAGUGCCCACUGGUGCUGUAGCUUAGCUGCCGUUGUAGCUAAGAGAAGCUCCAAGACUGUCCUAGGCUUCCUGGCCUAAGUUUGGAAACUGCAGUCACCUGGCCUGUCGGGCCUGUGCCUGCCACACUUGAGAAGCCAAAGUGAGGCCCUGCGAACCUGCUGAGAAGGGGGCAGAGAGAGGCCCACCCUGUGGUGGCCAAGGCCGGGACCUGGCGGAUUUGGCCAGACCGUUGAAGGUGCAAAACAAGGGGAGAGAAGAGGCUGUGGGGGCCUGGCAGGGCUCUUGGGGUCUCCUGCUGCACUCGACAGCGGCCUGGGGCCAACAGAAACGUUUCGUCUGAUUAGAAGCCAUCGGUUCUAUCCCAAUCCCGGAAAAUUGACUGCGGUGCAGAGGGGGUAGGCCUGAGAAGCAGCUUUGGGGGAGAGGGUCCAAGCUAAUUAGGAGGCAGCAUCCGGGGGCCCAUUAGAGCUCAGGCUGCUGUCACUCAGCCUGGCUCGGGUCCCGGGAGAAGAUCCCGGGGAAGGAGGGGCCGCGGCCCCUCGACGAGGACGCCGCUGGGAGCUGCCGGAACGAGCCCCGGGCUCUGCCCCCGCCCUGGCGCUGACUCGCAGGCUCCCGGUCGGUUGGAUCCUGCUCGGUGAACGUUCACUCAUCCCGGGCUGUUCUCGCCGGAGGCUCGGAACUUCGAGGCGGCCCAGACAGGAGUUGAUUUCUGAGCGAAACAAGUCAUUUGGGGCUUGAGGUGGGCACGAGCCGCGCGGGACUUGCAAGCCAGAUGCGUUUCUUUUGUGCGGCCGAGGGAGAACUCAGUGUGCCACCGGGGAAGGAGGGUGAGGCGCGGCGAGGCCGCGGG
rnacentral:lncRNA from 1 species